UCAUGUAAUUGGUUCAAGGACUAUCUAACGCAGUGGUCCCCAAACUACGGCCCGCCACUUCAUUUUGGGUGGCCCCCCAAAACAUGUCCGUGGUAUAUAGCCAGGGGCGGUUUUAGGGGCGGGGCCACAGGGGCCCUGGCCCCACCUGAAAUUUCAUUGGCCCCUGAAUGGCCCCUGUACCGGCAAUCAUCAAUAAAUGUCAAACUUGUUGAGAACGAUGAUCAGAGAUGCAAUUCCAUUCCCAAACAACUGGUGCCAGUAAUGCACCUUUUGAAGCUUGAAAGCUAAAGCACACAAAGAACUGCUUAGGUCUGAGCACGAAAGAAAGAAUACAUUUGGCUAACCAGAGAACUCUCGGCUAAUGUGAAGAACUGAUACAUUUGGCUAACGAAAGUAUCAGCUAGCGUGAAGAACUGAUCAAUGGCAGCGUUUCAUCCUCCACAGAAGUUUCUUGACUGGGAUGGCGUAGGCUUAGAUUGGAGCUGGUGACUUUAACCCACAGUCUUCAGAACCACCAGAGUCACCAAGCAUAGCUGCUCCUAAUGACAUUUCCCAUUAUAGAGCAGCUGGUUCUGUGCAACCAAAGGUAUUCCGCAAGAUACAGCAUGGAAAUAGGAAGAGGCCACUAAAUGACUUCUAAUACAAAGACUUCAAAUGGUUGGAGUAUUCCAUAUUUAGUGUUUUACUACCCCUUCCAUAAUUUUUUCGCUUCCAAAUUCCCCAUCGUCUGUCUUCAAAUCAGAAUCAGACUUUUGUAACUGGAAGCAAGACGGUGAUUCAAAGACCAUUCCAAAUCAGACCAUUGUAAAAAUAAUUGUUGAAAAAAAUAAUAGUGUAAAUAUGAUGUAGUUGUUGCUCACAUGCUGUGUGUGUUUGUUUGUUUGUUUAAAUGUAUGCAAACUGGCAGUGAAGGUGGUUUCUCUUAUCAAUGCAUUUCCGCUGAAGUGUCUAUUAUAUUUUAGUUUUAUAUAUUGUGUUUUCAGUGCACAUUAUAAAUAAA